UACGUAGGUCCCGAGCGUUGUCCGGAUUUAUUGGGCGUAAAGCGAGCGCAGGUGGUUUAUUAAGUCUGGUGUAAAAGGCAGUGGCUCAACCAUUGUAUGCAUUGGAAACUGGUAGACUUGAAUCCGGGAGAGGGUGGCGGAAUUCCAGGUGUAGGAGUGAAAUCCGUAGAUAUCUGGAGGAACAUCAGUGGCGAAGGCGGCCACCUGGACCGGUAUUGACGCUGAGGCGCGAAAGCGUGGGGAGCAAACAGG
rnacentral:rRNA from 1 species